rnacentral:rRNA from 1 species
GGGUGCAAUCAUACCAGCCCUAAUGCAUCGGAUCCCAUCAGAACUCCGCAGUUAAGAGUGCUUGGGCGAGAGUAGAAUUAAGAUCGACUUUGUUGCAGGAC